rnacentral:precursor_RNA from 12 species
CUCUUGGGAUUUGGCCUCUAGGUGCCCAGCAGUGUUGAGGUUGGGAAUAUGCCAUGCUCUCUCUUGGGUAAAUUCUCAGCCUCUCACAGUUGAGCACCAAAGAUUCUUCUACUGUACCUU